GGGAGGUAGGUGGGGAUGGGUAACAACCGCUAACCACUCUCGGUUUUUGGCAAUUUUCCCUCGGGACGAUUAUUACAGCGUCGUCGUCGUCGUCGUUAUUUGUUCCGUCUGGCAAACGCCAAAUCGCCAACAAUCCGGCGCCGUUGCAAAGUACGUGGCCGCGUGUAUUAUACUUAUACAGUAACGACUGUGCCAAAACUGACAUUUUACUAUUCUUUCGCUGUGCUUUUGCCCGUUUGUUUAUAGUAUUAAACGAUUCGUCUUAUCUCUCGCUUCAACCGCGACUAUUAAACGUCUUUAAUUCGACAAUAUACAAUACUGUACCGUGUGUAGACGUAAUAUAAUAUGGUUUCGUAUAAAUACGGCAUUUGCCAAUUCAACUCGUGUUUUCCGAGACAAAUGACAGGUUAUUAACGCAUUUUUAAUUCUGAGCAAAGCGAGUAAUGCAUAGGUUUUUUUUUGUUUGCGGCUGUAAACAUUUUUUUUUUUAACCAAAAAUCUUGCUCUAAUCAAUUAAUUAAAAAA